AUUGAACGCUGGCGGCAGGCCUAACACAUGCAAGUCGAACGAGUGGCGGACGGGUUCGUAAUGUCUGGGAAACUGCCUGAGGGCGGGGGAUAACUACUCGAACCGGUAGCUAAUACCGCAUACCAUCGGAUGUGCCCAGAUGGGAUUAGCUAGUAGGUGGGGUAACGGAUCACCUAGACGACGAUCCCUAGCUGGUCUGAGAGGAGGACCAGCCACACUGGAACUGAGACACGGUCCAGACUCCUACGUGAGGCAGCAGUGGGGAAUAUUGCACAAUGGGCGCAAGCCUGAUGCAGCCAUGCCGCGUGUAUGAAGAAGGCCUUCGGGUUGUAAAGUACUUUCAGCGGGGAGGCGUUACCCGCAGAAGAAGCACCGGCUAACUCCGUGCCAGCCGCCGCGGUAAUAC
rnacentral:rRNA from 1 species